UUUGUAUAGGAAAGUGAUGCUAGAGAACUACAGAAACCUGGUCUCUCUGGGUCUUACUGUUUCUAAGCCAGAACUGAUUAGCCGUCUGGAGCAAAGACAGGAGCCCUGGAAUGUGAAGAGACAUGAGACCAUAGCCAAACCCCCAGUGUCUGUAUGAAAGCAUGUGGUCAAUUUCUGCUGCUCGGGGUUUGAGAAGUUCUAUAUUAGGAUGUCAUUUACAUACUUUUCAACAGAAGAUUGAGGACACUGAAAUAUGAGGUGUGUGAAGAAAGUACACAGAGAAACUUUUGUGGUUGACUUAUAAAACUUGUAAGUGCUGCAUGAGAUAGAUGUUCAGAGUAAUAGUCUUGUGCAUUAUUCAAAUUUUAGUAAAUUGUUUUACCAAUUGCACAUUAGAUAGUAUAGUGGAUUUUGUAAUGCUUUUCUUAGACUGUGUGAACUUAGUUUCAAUAAAACAAUUAUUUUUAAUGUGUU
rnacentral:lncRNA from 1 species